rnacentral:rRNA from 1 species
GAUGAACGCUAGCGGCAGGCCUAAUACAUGCAAGUCGAACGGUCCACUUCGGUGGAUAGUGGCGCACGGGUGCGUAACACGUAUGCAACCUACCCUACAUUGGGGGAUAGCCUUUCGAAAGGGAGAUUAAUACCGCAUAAGACAGUAACAUGGCAUCAUGUAGCUGUUAAAGAUUUAUCGAUGUAAGCUGGGCAUGCGUCCAAUUAGUUAGUUGGUGGGGUAAUGGCUCACCAAGACGAUGAUUGGUAGGGGAACUGAGAGGUCAAUCCCCCACACUGGCACUGAGAUACGGGCCAGACUCCUACGGGAGGCAGCAGUAGGGAAUAUUGGGCAAUGGACGCAAGUCUGACCCAGCCAUGCCGCGUGCAGGAAGAAGGCGUUCUGCGUUGUAAACUGCUUUUAUAUAGGAAGAAACGACCCUUGCGAGGGGCAUUGACGGUAUUAUAUGAAUAAGCACCGGCUAACUCCGUGCCAGCCGCCGCGGUAACAC